UUGUUGGGGUAAAUAUUUAAAUUCAAAAUAGUUGUGGGAGUAACGUGUAAGAAUGUGAAUUACCAUUUGGCACUCAAUCUUUUUAUUUUUAUUUUUUUGAGGAAAUCACUCAGUCUCUUUCUUGCACCUUUGUCUGUUAUGCUAUUUGAGGAUACUCUUCUAAGGAAAAGGGACAUGAAAAAGAAUAUAUCAUAAAUUUUUUU
rnacentral:misc_RNA from 1 species